rnacentral:rRNA from 1 species
GGACUACAGGGGUAUCUAAUCCUGUUUGCUCCCCACGCUUUCGUGCAUGAGCGUCAGUAUUGGCCCAGGGGGCUGCCUUCGCCAUCGGUGUUCCUCCACAUCUCUACGCAUUUCACUGCUACACGUGGAAUUCCACCCCCCUCUGCCAUACUCUAGCGCGCCAGUCACCAAUGCAGUUCCCAAGUUAAGCUCGGGGAUUUCACAUCGGUCUUAACGCACCGCCUGCGCACGCUUUACGCCCAGUAAUUCCGAUUAACGCUCGCACCCUACGUAUUACCGCGGCUGCUGGCAC